GUCACAUAUGUCACUGGUGCAUAGCUAGCACAUUGAACUUGAGAUUAAAAACAAUCACACCUCUGACUUCACAAAGAGCAGUCUCACUACAAAAUAAAAUCACAGGUAUAUAUGUAUCACAUCACAAACACACAUAUGUAUAUAUCGCAGGAACAGUAAACUGGACAUUAAUCAUCAGCACACAACAAUAUUUUUGAUGAAUUACACACACACACACACAUACUAGCAGAAUACCAAUUGACAAAACCAAAAUAUGAUAAAUCAAGUAUCUCUCAAAGUAACAAAGCCUCAACUAGUCAGAUCUCAAAACACAUACACUAUAUUAUACAAGUACUUAAACAGAGCAAACAGCAGAUUGCAAGUACACUUCAAAUCUGAAUAUUACAUAAGCAUCUCAAGGCACAAAUCUGAAUAUUACACAAGGUUCACCUAGCGGUUUUCAGAAAUUUGCAAGAAGUAAGAGAGGAGAGAAGCAGCAGCAGUUCAGAGAAGAACUAGGAGCAGCAAGGAGAGAAGAGCAGCAGCAGGUUCGUGGGAGAGGGAGCAGCAGCAGUAGUAGGGGUUCAAGGAAGAAAGAAGAUGCAGCAGCAGGGACGUGAGGAGAGGGAGCAGCAACAGUUUUGGAGAGAAGGAGGAGCAGCAGCGAGGGGAAGGAGAGGAAUCAGCAGGGACGCAAGAAGAGGAGCAGCAGCAAAGACGUGGGAGAAGAGAGCAGCAGCAGCGGAGGGCGCAAGAAGAAGCGGCAACAGCAGCAAGGGUUCAUAGAAGGAGAAGCAGCAAGCAGUUUGGGGGACGAGGAGAGGUGGAGGAGCAGCAAAGGGAAGAAGAAUUUGGGGAAACAGCAGGGAGAGGCGCGCCGGCUGGAGGGAGAGGUCGCGCGAGACACCAGACCACCACGUCUGGUAGGGCGCGCGAGGUGAUGGUGAAGGCGCGGUGGAGAUGGAGUGGUGCUGGUGGUGCUUGGCGCGGACGGUGGAGAUGGAUGGCUUCGGGGAGUGGUGGAUGGAGAUGGUGAUGAGGUGGGAGGCGCACCACCACGCCGGCCUGGCCGUGGCGGCGGCCGGAGGUGGAGAAGUAGUGUGAGGGAGAUAGAGAUGCCAGGCCUAAGGGGAUCGAAGAAGAUGGCUGGGGAUUUUACCCCUCUCGAUCAGAUCUGCAUUCUCC
rnacentral:rRNA from 1 species